CUAAGCAGGCCUAAUUAUGGCAACCUACUUUUACAAAUAUGUGACCGUCAAAUAAAACAACAAAAUGAUGCAUUUCUUAACAUGUCAUAACAACUGAUGUCGGCUGCAAGCUGCUCUGUACUAAACAAAUAACCCUACGCCUUAUACACCAUCCUCUCCAAAUCGAAGCCCUAAAUCCAUUAUCUGAGUGUGCAGCCUAAUCAGUACCAACGCAGACAUCUUCAUCUGCUUCGAGAUCCGUCGAGGAGUCAUUUAUCACACCGCGACGCAACUCAUGGAUGCCCCUUAAAUUAUUAUCAUAUAGUGCUAGAUAUACAUACUGAUUGGACGCAGCAGGGGGAACACUGGGUCUUUACAUCGACUGACUGCGAGAAGGGGGAGACGCUCCAUCGCGCGCUGGACAACAAUAUCUAUCUAGACCCGGAGACCUCUCCGUUCUUUUGAAAAUACAAAAUAGCCACCUUGCUUGUACCGUUGGCGGUCGGAAGAGUGUGAGAGAGUGCCUUUCUUUUGCUCGUUUUGUUUACGUCAAGGGGACUGAAGUUUACGGAGGCAGUGGUUCUCUCGGCGCAAAUAGGCUACAACAAUCGUAACUCGAUCUCCCCCCGUUUUGUGUCGUCUGUGGUUGGUAGGGUCCUCAGUAGUUACACAUGUGUGGUUGUCACUGCUGGACGGUGUCAUGCUCGAAUCCUCUGCUUCUUGCACUGCUCUGUCCUCUUCUGUUGAGUGAUCAGACAGUCUUCACUGUUGUUCCCGGGCAGCGAAUACCUGUCAACACCCCGUCGGCGACAUUGAAAACAGCGACGAAUUCCCUAGAAGUUGGAGCAUCGUUUGGUGAAGUUUUGACCCACCGGUACUGAACAACAAUGGGAUUCUAAUCGGAAAAAUCCACGCCAGCCUGCCCGGUCUUCUGAGCAGGCACAGGGAGCCUGCCCGGUCUUCUGAGCAGGCACAGGGAGCCUGCCCGGUCUUCUGAGCAGGCAUAGGGAGCCUGCCCGGUCUUCUGAGCAGGCACAGGGAGCCUGCCCGGUCUUCUGAGCAGGGACAGGGAGCCUGCCCGGUCUUCUGAGCAGGCACAGGGAGCCUGCCCGGUCUUCUGAGCAGGCACAGGGAGCCUGUCCGGUCUUCUGAGCAGGCACAGGGAGCCUGCCCGGUCUUCUGAGCAGGCACAGGGAGCCUGCCCGGUCCUCUGAGCAGGCACAGGGAGCCUGCCGGUCUUCUGAGCAGGAACAGGGAGCCUGCCCGGUCUUCUGAGCAGGCACAGGGAGCCUGCCCGGUCUUCUGAGCAGGCACAGGGAGCCUG
rnacentral:lncRNA from 1 species